rnacentral:miRNA from 1 species
UUGAAGGAUUUGUAAGAAAUGUUUGAGGGAACUGACUCAGUGUUUAACAGUGAGUCAGUUCUCUCAAACAUUUCUUACAAAUCCUUUAA